rnacentral:rRNA from 1 species
AGCAGUAGCCACGGGAAUACAGAGGGUGCGAGCGUUAAUCGGAUUUACUGGGCGUAAAGCGUGCGUAGGCGGCUUUUUAAGUCGGAUGUGAAAUCCCUGAGCUUAACUUAGGAAUUGCAUUCGAUACUGGGAAGCUAGAGUAUGGGAGAGGAUGGUAGAAUUCCAGGUGUAGCGGUGAAAUGCGUAGAGAUCUGGAGGAAUACCGAUGGCGAAGGCAGCCAUCUGGCCUAAUACUGACGCUGAGGUACGAAAGCAUGGGGAGCAAACAGGAUUAGAUACCCGCGUAGUCCCUGUCUCUUAUAA